rnacentral:misc_RNA from 1 species
AAGUCGUAACAAGGUUUCCGUAGGUGAACCUGCGGAAGGAUCAUUAUUGUGGAGCUACGGCUCCUUCGAGGGAGAACCCUUGCCUUUUCGAGCACCUGUUUGUUUCCUCGGCAGGCCCGCCUGCCAAUGAGGACCUCUUAAACUCUUGCAAUAAACCUGAACACAAAUUGUCUGAAUAAAAAAAUCUAAAUCAAAACUUUCAACAACGGAUCUCUUGGUUCUG